GUGAUAUCAGUUUUGUAGCUUCUUCAAUGGCGUCUUCUUCAACUAGUCUCAUCUCCUCCUCCUCCUCCUCCUCCUCCACUAGGAUUCUUCUCCCAGCCAAGUCUUCGCUUCCAUCUCUCUCCCUCUCUUUCCUUCCAGCUCUCUCCUCUCCUUCCGCACUCGCUUCUCUCCGGUUUGCUCGACCCUCUUCCCUCCCCUCAAUCUGCUCCUCUUCUCGCCGGAGCUUCGCCAGACCGAGCAUCAUGUCAAGACAUGCGAUGGUUUAGUUUCAGUUGUAGUCUAUGGAGACCAAGAGAAGCCAGCAUUGAUCACUUACCCAGAUGUAGCAUUAAAUUACUUGUCUUGCUUCCAAGGACUGUUUCUCUGCCCUGAAGCAGUGUCUUUGCUCCUCCAUAACUUCUGUCACGGAGUGGAGGAAGUCUUGUAGUUUUCUGUCUUGUUGUCUUGUAGCAUUGGGAGUAAGCUAGUAGUUUUCUGUCGUGGAGGAAAUCUUGUAGUUCUCGGUCAUGUUUGAUCACACACAUAUUCUCUCAUUUUCAACCAACCAAGAUCAUCUUGUGUAGAUAUGUUUUUCAUAAAAUGUUUAAUUUUUUUUAAGAACUCUUGA